UACGUAGGUGGCAAGCGUUGUCCGGAUUUAUUGGGUUUAAAGGGUGCGUAGGCGGUUUCUUAAGUCAGUGGUGAAAUACGGCAGCUCAACUGUCGAGGUGCCAUUGAUACUGGGAAACUUGAGUACUGAUGAGGUAGGCGGAAUGGACGGUGUAGCGGUGAAAUGCUUAGAGAUCGUCCAGAACACCGAUAGCGAAGGCAGCUUACUACACAGUUAUUGACGCUGAGGCACGAAAGCGUGGGGAUCAAACAGG
rnacentral:rRNA from 1 species